rnacentral:rRNA from 1 species
AUUGAACGCUGGCGGCAGGCUUAACACAUGCAAGUCGAACGAGUGGCGGACGGGUGGGUAAUGCUUGUGCAUCUAGCUUAUGGAGGGGGAUAACUAGGGGAAACUGUGGCUAAUACCGCAUAACAUCGUAUGAGCCGAUGGGGGAUUAGGUAGUUGGUGGGGUAAAGGCUCACCAAGGCGACGAUCUCUAGCUGGUCUGAGAGGAUGAUCAGCCACACUGGGACUGAGACACGGCCCAGACUCCUACGGGAGGCAGCAGUGGGGAAUAUUGGGCAAUGGGCGAAAGCCUGAUCAAGCCAUGCCGCGUGUGUGAAGAAGGUCUUCGGGUUGUAAAGCUCUUUAGGUAGGGAGGCGUUAACUACAGAAGAAGCACCGGCUAACUACGUGCCAGCAGCCGCGGUAAUUC